AUUAGUUGGAAAACAAUUAAAUAAUAAUCAGGAAGAAAAUAAAUUGUAUUAUUUGUGUGUAUGCGUUUUUUGUUAGUCUACGUAACAAUUAAUCAAUGGAAACGAGUGUCAAACAAUUGACACAAAUUCCCCUAGAAAUUAAUGUCACAAUUUAUUAUUCUCACAAUUAAAGGAUUGCCAAAAUCAACUCAACAAAAACAUCUUAAUCAUCACUAAUUGUCAUCGCAACCAUUGCAUUGACUUUAAAUCUUAAUUAUUAAUUGUUUAAGUUUAUCACAUCAAUUGUAAUCAUUAGAUUAUGUCUCUAAUUAACUGAAACAAUCAGUCAAUUGUCAAUAAAAACCAAAGUAAUAUGAAAAAAAACUCCAAAUUAAAACUAAUUGUUACCAAAUACCUUGUUACAAUUAACCGAAAUCAAUUAUUUUACUCGCUAAUUAAACAAGUGAUUAGCUGAUUGUCUUAUUAAGUGAAGAUCAAACUUGAUUUGAUACAAUGUUCUGAACUCAUUCAGAUCAAUUCGAAACUUUUCUUAAAAGAAAGUGGAAAAUCAACUGAAUUAAAUCAAUUAGACAAUUUUUUCCAAUGGUUCAUUUAAUUUGCACAUGAUUGAUUAAGAUAUGACAAGACGGAUGCAAGUUGAUUAAAUGUAAUAUAAUGAUAAAGGUACAUAGAGUUGAGGUGAAAAAAACAAUUGUAAAUGUUAAUUGUCAUUGUUGCUAUUGUGUGUUUGGCCUUAAUAGUGAUUAAAUCUCAUUGAAAAUGCAAAGAAA